rnacentral:rRNA from 1 species
CUACGGGGGGCUGCAGUGGGGAAUAUUGGACAAUGGGCGAAAGCCUGAUCCAGCCAUGCCGCGUGUGUGAAGAAGGCCUUCGGGUUGUAAAGCACUUUCAGUGGGGAAGAAAGCCUUGGGGCUAAUACCCUCGAGGAAGGACAUCACCCACAGAAGAAGCACCGGCUAACUCCGUGCCAGCAGCCGCGGUAAUACGGAGGGUGCGAGCGUUAAUCGGAAUUACUGGGCGUAAAGCGCGCGUAGGCGGUCUGAUAAGCCGGUUGUGAAAGCCCCGGGCCAACCUGGGAAAGGCAUCCGGAAACUGUAGGGCGAGAGGAAAGGUGAGGUAAGUAGAAUUCCGGGGGGAGAGGUGAAAUGCGUAGAGACGGGGAGGAAUACCAGGGGGGAGGGCGGACUACGAAAAAUGGAGUGACGCGGAGGGACGAAAGCGUGGGGAGAAAACAGGAUUAGAUACCCGGGGAGUC